rnacentral:lncRNA from 1 species
UUUUUUUGGCAUAUCCACUAGCAAAAGCAAUGCGUUUUUGGUCCCACUAAAGUCUCCACUAAACAAAUGCUUGUUGAUUGUCCCCAUUCAAAGAAAUUUCUUAUUCUAUGAUUUCAUGUUUCUUUAUAUUGUUUAUUAUUUGCAUGGCCUGAUGAUUUAUUAUGUAUAGUUAUAUUAAAUCCGGACCGAGUUAGUUAGGUGUUUCAUCUAUUUUGCAUCUUCAUAAUCGAUUGUAUCUUACUUCGUUCACUAAUUAUUUUUGUUUGAGAGUCCACGUAGUAAAUUUAGUAAAGCAAAAG